GUAAAUGACCCAGUUUCCUGUGGUGUGUGUUUUUGGGGCCCAGGGAGUGCCCUUCCCCCCUCAAGUGAAUUGGAGAUGCCUCAGAUGAUGUCAGCUCACUCUGCAAGCGACAGAGAGAUGGGUUGGCAAGAUCUGCAGCAUGAGCCUGGGAUCCGGCUGCCAUUUGGGCUCCUGUCGGCGUCACUGUGGAGACCAUUAAUCUUCAACUUAUGACAGCCUUCUCGGAGCAUUGAGUUUUCUUGUUCUGUUUUGUUCAGCGUGGCAUUCAAGAUUCCUUCACAGAAAUCUGUGUCGGGGCAGGAAAAUGCUAUGUGAAUUAUGUCCUCGUGAAGUCACCAUCUGGCCAAUAUUCAUCUUGCUUAGUGAAAUAUCAAGGAUAUCCUUCGGCACAGAUGCUGUGGGGCAAGAACAUAGCACACAAGUGACUGCAGUCAUAAACCAACACGCAAUCAAGUGUAAUUAAUGCACCUGGUGCCCACUUCAGAGUUCCAAUCCCACAGUCGCACACUGGUUGUGGGGAUAGAUGUUUGCAGUUUGAAUCGGCCCUGGCAUCUUCAGCAGUAAAUAAGUCACCAUCAUGGAGCUGGUGAAAAUGGGAGUGUUUGUGUGCGUUCAAGAAGCUGCAUCACAUGCAAACCGUACAAUACUGAGCAGCAUUCUGUGCCUUGAAAAGGCCAUUGUCCCGUGCGUCUGGAAUCCGUUCUCCUGUUGACACUCACUGGCUUUUGAAGGCCAGGUCCAGAUACUGGCCUCCAAGUGCUUUUGUGCCAGAUGGAAGAAGGGAAGGGAUCGCCCCCCAUGACUUCUCUGUCAGCAGGAUUUCAUAGCCUCCUUCCCCUUUUUCCACACUGGUUUUGACCUGGUGGUGUUUUAAAGUGGUGAUGGGAGGUAGGCUUGCAAUGCCUUGCACAUAAGAGGUACAUGGUGCAUAUCCAUUUGAUAACCUACUGAGGAUUGCAGACUUUUAGUCCACACAACCAACAA
rnacentral:lncRNA from 1 species